rnacentral:rRNA from 1 species
UGGUGGUUAUUGCGAGAAGGUCACACCCGUUCCCAUCCCGAACACGGAAGUUAAGUUUCUCAGCGAAGAUGGUAGUAGGGGGCUUCCCCCUGUGAGAGUAGAUCAUUGCCAGGCA